GACAAAGAUAGGAUCCUUCAGCAGAAGGAGGCCGAGUUGCGUCGUAUGCAGGAGAUGAUCGCUCAAAUGCAAGCCCAGAUGAGGAUGAAACCUGCAGACGAGUAAGGAGGCAUCCUAAGAGUUUGACACGGGGGACUCGGUGGUCUUAAAGACUCAGGGGUCAUGAACUGAAAUUGAAUUUCAAUGAUGACACUAAUGGAUUUGGAGAGGUUCAUGCUUGGAUGGCGGACCAGGAUAUGAUGCAGUGCAGCUAAAAACCCUUGGAAGUUCACAUUGGAAAAAAUUGAACCCACCUGUCCACGUAUACGUAUAACCAUCGCUUAUAUCU
rnacentral:lncRNA from 1 species